UACAGAGGUCUCAAGCGUUGUUCGGAUUCAUUUGGCGUAAAGGGUGCGUAGGCGGCGCGGUAAGUCGGGUGUGAAAUCUCGGAGCUUAACUCCGAAACUGCAUUCGAUACUGCCGUGCUUGAGGACUGGAGAGGAGACUGGAAUUUACGGUGUAGCGGUGAAAUGCGUAGAUAUCGUAAGGAAGACCAGUGGCGAAGGCGGGUCUCUGGACAGUUCCUGACGCUGAGACGCGAAAGCGUGGGGAGCGAACAGG
rnacentral:rRNA from 1 species